GUACAGGAAAAACUGCCAAUGCAGCCUUUCCUAAUUGCACCAGGGUCUUCAUUCAGGUUCUUGUUUACAGUUCUUCAUAAGGGAACAUUUUAACAAUUCAAAUGGAAACAGUGACAACUGACAAGAAAGCUGUUCUAGUCCGCCAUCGCCAAGUUGCCAUCAGUGUGAUGCGGGAACAGCGUCUGAUGACGGCAUGACUUUUGUUGAGGCCAUGCGCUAAAGGGAUUAGCUAUUUAAAGCCAGAGUCGACAGUGGAAAUUUCCCAUGUCCUCUGUAUCCAAGGGAGAUUGAUAGACGCGGCGUUGGUGAAGAGGUAAAUGGCAUUUACGCUAUAGCAUCUGUCUGGGGAAUUAGAUCUGCCUACCUCGCGACAUCAGUGAGGACAAAUCAGCAAAGAGCAAAUUACACAAUUUCUUAGAGAACUCAAAGAAAACCUACUAAAUAAAUAACAAGUUCGGAACAACUGGAUUAUUGAUUUACAGGCUGGCUCCCCUGGCUGCUGCCCCCAUGGGUGUGAAGGUCCUCCAGUGUUUUCCCUGGUACAGGAGGUGUAAAGACCGGGGCAAGGCCAGACACUGCCCCCCAAAAGCCUUUCCAUGCAUCGAGACGGAGCCCCCGUUUGCUCCAACAAGCCAUGCCAGUGAUGAUGCUGGAGGAGUUGUCUACUUUUCCCACAAGGCCAGAGUGGCCUACAGACAUCAGAUGGAAGGAAAUGUUAUAGAUGCCACCUACUGACCCAGAGGCUUGUCCUCCAGCCUCUGCUGUAGAAACACACUUUAAAGACUGUCAGGUCAGAAGGCUGUCUUAAUACGGACUGUAACCAUUUGCUUCAUUUAACCUGUCCAGACAGGAGAAUCACACUCUAGUUGAUAGUUAAUGAGCUGAGCUCUUGUCAAGGUUGGAGAUGCUUGAAAAAGAUGAAGGCUGAUGCGUUAUUUUGGAGAAUUGUCUGAUGAAUAUUAGAAUAUCUUUGAAAGAUUGCAGGUAACAAUUCUUGUAGAUAUGCGUUAACAAAACAUGUCGUUUACACUCUUGCCUUAAAGUGCAUUCUUCUUCUGUUAUUUUAUAAUUAGUCACUUUAUUUAUUGGCCUACAAUCCAAGUUGUGUAUUUCUGUCUGUUAUGCUAAAUGGGUUUGUAUCUAAACUAUUGUGUAGUAGUCCAUUUGCUGUAAAAUCUCUGCAAGUAGCAAGUGAUGUAUAACUACUGCUCAGCUAUACAAUUUAUGUGAAAUUUGUUAUUAACAUCACUUUACUGUAUAUUCUGUUUGUAUUUUCUAUCAUAAUCAGGACAUGCUAAUGCUAGGUUAAUAAUAAUGUGCAUUUUCAUUUACAUUUUGGAUUGCUGUUAAUAGCUUCCAGUUUAUGUAACCUUUGUACUGUGCUUCUAGUUGGGUCCAUGUUCUCUGUUAUCCUAUCACAGCUUUUAAACAGUUUUAUGAUUAAGACUGUAUUUUUGUAAGCCUGGGGAUGUCCUCAACUAACAGGCCUUUGUGACAGACAGUAAACACUGGUUAAAGAUUAACACUUAGUGAUGUGACCAAGCUGGAGGGAACUAUGGAGGUCAAUUUGACAGUGAAGCAGACAUGUUUUAUAUGUUUUAUAACCCUUUGUCCAUCAUAUGGAUGGACUAAGGGUUGAAUAUUGAAUGUGAGAGAGAAGUGAGAAGAGAGAGACAUUGAAUACUUCCAUGGAGAAAUACUCCAGUAUAUCUAGAGGUACUCAUUGUCAUGGUUUGUUUCAAACCCUUUCACAUGAGCAUCCAUUCAGUCUAUUUGAUAUCACUUCUAACUCAUUGUGUAGGUGCCCUUAUACCUACAUAUCAAAUAUGGAUAUCAUAUUUAAAUACAGCUGCCUGUUUUAUACCUUUACCUGUUUCAUUACCAUAGUAUAUUAUAAUGACAACCAGUUGUUUCAAUAAACAGUCAACCUAACUGCAAAUCUGAAAUGAAUCAAGUGUGGUAAAUGUUGUAAUCUGCAACAAUAUUAUGCAGACUUUAUAUUAACAAAUUACCAUAGUAUUAUGUUGGCAGUUUAACUGCAGCCUUGGAUAAUAUGAGGGAUUUCCUUGGUGUUUACCGCUUAGCUUACCUUGUCAACUCAAAUCAUUGAUCAAGUCGUGACUUUCUAAUUAAAUGACAAAGC
ensembl:lncRNA